rnacentral:lncRNA from 1 species
AGGGGGCUGAGAUCGAGGAGUUCCUGCGGCGGCUGCUGAAGCGGCCGGAGCUGGAGGAGAUCUUCCAUCAGUACUCGGGCGAGGACCGCGUGCUGAGUGCCCCUGAGCUGCUGGAGUUCCUGGAGGACCAGGGCGAGGAGGGCGCCACACUGGCCCGCGCCCAGCAGCUCAUUCAGACCUAUGAGCUCAACGAGACAGGACAUGAACCAGCCCCUUGCCCA